rnacentral:rRNA from 1 species
AGUGAACGCUGGCGGUAGGCCUAACACAUGCAAGUCGAACGGCAGCACAGUAAGAGCUUGCUCUUACGGGUGGCGAGUGGCGGACGGGUGAGGAAUACAUCGGAAUCUACUUUUUCGUGGGGGAUAACGUAGGGAAACUUACGCUAAUACCGCAUACGACCUACGGGUGAAAGCAGGGGAUCUUCGGACCUUGCGCGAUUGAAUGAGCCGAUGUCGGAUUAGCUAGUUGGCGGGGUAAAGGCCCACCAAGGCGACGAUCCGUAGCUGGUCUGAGAGGAUGAUCAGCCACACUGGAACUGAGACACGGUCCAGGCUCCUACGGGAGGCAGCAGUGGGGAAUAUUGGACAAUGGGCGCAAGCCUGAUCCGGCCAUACCGCGUGGGUGAAGAAGGCCUUCGGGUUGUAAAGCCCUUUUGUUGGGAAAGAAAAGCAGCAGGUUAAUACCCCGCUGUUCUGACGGUACCCAAAGAAUAAGCACCGGCUAACUUCGUG